UACGUAGGGAGCAAGCGUUGUUCGGAUUUACUGGGCGUAAAGGGCGCGUAGGCGGCGCGGUAAGUCACUUGUGAAAUCUCUGAGCUUAACUCAGAACGGCCAAGUGAUACUGCAGUGCUAGAGUGCAGAAGGGGCAAUCGGAAUUCUUGGUGUAGCGGUGAAAUGCGCAGAUAUCAGGAGGAACACCGGUGGCGAAGGCGGUGAUCUGGGCCGACACUGACGCUGUAGAGCGAAAGCGUGGGGAGCGAACAGG
rnacentral:rRNA from 1 species